UACAGAGGUCUCAAGCGUUGUUCGGAUUCAUUGGGCGUAAAGGGCGCGUAGGCGGCCCCGUAAGUCUUGGGUGAAAGCCCUCGGCUCAACCGAGGAAUUGCCUUGGAUACUGCGGGGCUCGAGGCUGGAAGAGGACAGUGGAAUUCCCGGUGUAGCGGUGAAAUGCGUAGAUAUCGGGAGGAGCACCAGUGGCGAAGGCGGCUGUCUGGGCCAGUUCUGACGCUGAGGCGCGAAAGCGUGGGGAGCAAACAGG
rnacentral:rRNA from 1 species